GACGAACGCUGGCGGCGUGCUUAACACAUACAAGUCGAACGGAAAGGCCCUGCUUUUGUGGGGUGCUCGAGUGGCGAACGGGGGAGUAACACGUGAGUAACCUGCCCUUGACUUUGGGAUAACUUCAGGAAACUGGGGCUAAUACCGGAUAGGAGCUCCUGCUGCAUGGUGGGGGUUGGAAAGUUUCGGCGGUUGGGGAUGGACUCGCGGCUUAUCAGCUUGUUGGUGGGGUAGUGGCUUACCAAGGCUUUGACGGGUAGCCGGCCUGAGAGGGUGACCGGCCACAUUGGGACUGAGAUACGGCCCAGACUCCUACGGGACGCAGCGGUGGGGAAUAUUGCACAAUGGGCGGAAGCCUGAUGCGGCAACGCCGCGUGCGGGAUGACGGCCUUCGAGUUGUAAACCACUUUCGCCUGUGAUGAAGCGUGAGUGACGGUAAUGGGUAAAGAAGCACCGGCUAACUACGUG
rnacentral:rRNA from 1 species